rnacentral:rRNA from 1 species
UACGUAGGGUGCAAGCGUUAAUCGGAAUUACUGGGCGUAAAGCGUGCGCAGGCGGUUUUGUAAGUCUGUCGUGAAAGCCCCGGGCUCAACCUGGGAAUUGCGAUGGAGACUGCAAGGCUUGAAUCUGGCAGAGGGGGGUAGAAUUCCACGUGUAGCAGUGAAAUGCGUAGAUAUGCGGAGGAACACCGAUGGCGAAGGCAGCCCCCUGGGUCAAGAUUGACGCUCAUGCACGAAAGCGUGGGGAGCAAACAGG